rnacentral:tRNA from 1 species
UGGCACCUACUUUCAACAGGUAGAUGGCCGGUCUCCAAAACCGGACGAUGCAGGUUCGACUCCUGCGGUGUCAG